UACGUAGGGGGCGAGCGUUGUCCGGAUUUAUUGGGCGUAAAGAGCGUGUAGGCGGCCAGGUAGGUCUGCUGUGAAAACUCGAGGCUCAACCUCGAGACGUCGGCGGAAACCAUCUGGCUAGAGUCCGGAAGAGGAGAGUGGAAUUCCUGGUGUAGCGGUGGAAUGCGCAGAUAUCAGGAGGAACACCAAUAGCGAAGGCAGCUCGCUGGGACGGUACUGACGCUGAGGCGCGAAAGCGUGGGGAGCGAACAGG
rnacentral:rRNA from 1 species